AUUAGCGGCGGACGGGUGAGUAACACGUGGGCAACCUGCCUAUAAGACUGGGAUAACUUCGGGAAACCGGAGCUAAUACCGGAUACGUUCUUUUCUCGCAUGAGAGAAGAUGGAAAGACGGUUUACGCUGUCACUUAUAGAUGGGCCCGCGGCGCAUUAGCUAGUUGGUGAGGUAAUGGCUCACCAAGGCGACGAUGCGUAGCCGACCUGAGAGGGUGAUCGGCCACACUGGGACUGAGACACGGCCCAGACUCCUACGGGAGGCAGCAGUAGGGAAUCUUCCGCAAUGGACGAAAGUCUGACGGAGCAACGCCGCGUGAACGAAGAAGGCCUUCGGGUCGUAAAGUUCUGUUGUUAGGGAAGAACAAGUACCAGAGUAACUGCUGGUACCUUGACGGUACCUAACCAGAAAGCCACGGCUAACUACGUGCCAGCAGCCGCGGU
rnacentral:rRNA from 2 species